UGGAGAGGGAACCACAUUGUGAUGUUGAAGAAAUCUCUGCAACAAUUCAUUGUCAUGUUCCAGAUGCCACUUUGGACAAAAAUAUUGGAGCUGAAUUAUCAUAUAUCCUACCUAAAGAGUAUACACAAAGAUUUGAAGCUCUGUUUAACAAUCUGGAAAAGAAGCAGAAAGAGCUGGGCAUCACCAGCUUUGGUGUUUCAAUCACUACCAUGGAAGAAGUCUUCCUUAAGGUCUAUAAGCUGG